UGCUGAAACAGGCGACAUCAGAGUAGGAGAAUCUAUUGGAAGCCUUUUAGCAAUUACCUAGACAAAGCUGAUCAUUUGCAAUGGUCUGCUUUGCAAAGUAGCAUUGGCAGCUCUUAUUGUGGAAACUGGGGCAUUCAUCAACACAAAAAUACUAGAAACAUCCCUAAAGUAUUUCUUUGUUAUAUUCCUUUACUAAUUUUGCUGUCCCAGAUUAGCACUGCAGAGGUUUAGGUGUGCUGUAUAAUGGAGGAAAGUACAAACUGGUCAUAACAUGUAAGGAGCGACAAAAUGAUUCACACUGCAGUUACUCAGUGUUUGAGAGCUCUCACCACACUGGGUGCUUGCAUAGUAACCCUCUGGGGGGCUGCGCAUCAGUGUGCAAGGACAACACGUGGAAAGAGGCAUGCAGAAAGGAACCAGCGCCUUUAAAAGUUUGCCAGCUUUCUUCUUUACCUGAGUAAUGACCACCAGGAGGGGCUUCACAGCAGCUUCUUUUGCUCCUGGAUCCACAAAAAUAUGUGCAUUUGCCUACAAGGACAGUGUGCAUUUUAAGCAUAGCCAAGAGACAGGUGAUUUAACUGACUAGAGAGUCUCUGUCCCACUCAGAAUAGGCCUCCAGGUCAGAGGUGUAUUAAUGAGAGAGCAGCUGGAGGAUGAUGAGCUGAUCCUGCAGCCUCCAACAGCACUGAAUUGACUACAAGGGACUCUAUAGAAGAUAACUUACAGCUAAUAACUAUACAAAUCAUCCUGCAGAUACAGCUGCUAUCACAACUGCAAGAAUUCCUGUUUGUUCUUGGAGGAGGCCUGUGUCAAAGCCCAGACCAUGUACAAAUUCCCCAGUGGUCGCUGUGUAGCACACCACGAUAUUUGGAAGGUCCAGGAACCAAAUUUACAUCAGUUUCUUCCAAGACUCAUAUCCUGCUCCAGCAGAAGUUGAAAAGACACUUUUUUUUUGUAGAGAGCUUCUCUAAUCAGUAUUCUUGAUGUGUAUCCUAGUGGUAGGAAGUAGCAAUAAUAAUAAUAUUAAAACUACCACGUACUAUAAAGCUACAUGUUAAAGGGGAUAAAGCUAAGCAUGUUCUGUGGCUAGGACCAGAUAUUUGCAGUAGUAAAGCAUGUUGCGCAUGUUGGGUGUGUCAAACACUGAAACUUUUCAUUCUGAAAGGGAUUUCCAGGCAUAUCUUGGGUAUUUUUAACAAAAGUGAAAGAAAAACAUAAUUUAUAGCAAGUAUAGAUUUCCCUAUUGUCUACAGAGACAGUUUGGAUUUCCUAGUUGCAAAAAAAGGUCAUGAGGAUAAUAACUGACUGGAAGAAAGACUGUGAAUUAGAAAGGGCAAUAAUCCUUUACUUGGAACUUUUCCUGAUGCUGGAAAGCAGUUGGUUUCAUUCUGGCCAGAGCAAAGUUUUCAGUGAGACUGGAUGUGUCAAAGCAAAGCUACAGAGACCAGACUGCUGGUUUCCCUAAAAAACACCCUACAGACGUUUAAGCUUGCAUUUACAGAACUAUUUCUUAAAGGUCCAGCUACAGCAAAUUGAAUCAAAUAGCUGCAAGGAGUUUCAUUGGUUGGUGCCCUGAUCUUCCCUGCAAAUCCUUUGGACAGAGUCCAAGUAUGAGAAAGACCUGCAAAACCCAGUAAUGUAUCCUUGCAGAAACUGAUCCAACACUGAGGGAAAGAGGAAUUCUAAAACAACUGGUGAAUGUAAAAGGGAUUUCCUUGUCAUACUUGCCAUCCAUACAAAUGACUGGGUUUCCCAGCUACCCAAAGCUUCUCUGUGUCUGUAUCCCCUCAGUAAACCUCUCAACUGUCACAGGAAUUGUCUACACACCUAAUCAUCUCUUAUUCUUCUCCUUCCAGGUUUCCAUGUUCAGUGCAUGAGUUUUUAAAUAAUUUGAUCAUUUUCAUAACCUGCUUGGACUUGAUUCUCUAGCAUGCUGUUUUUCAAGAAGCAAUUCAUCAGUGUGGGUGACUGCAUGAUAGCCUAACCUGAAAACUCUCCAGGUUUCCUGAAUUCCACUGUCUUGCACAUGUUUAUUAUUACUCCAUAGCUACUAUGUCCAUAUACAGAAUGAUGAAAGGGUGUUUUUUUUCAUUAUCUGACUAGAAUAUUGCUGAAGUAGCAAAGAAGCUUGUGCAUUAUGAACACACAGAACAGGAAUGUCUGAUCAUGUGCAGGGGGGGGAUAGGAAAUUAAUUUUACAGCACCCUUCAGAAAGUCUGUCAGAAAAGUUAUCUUUGAAACAUUCUCUUCCUCAGUGGGAAAAUAACAUAUAUGAGCAAAUCCUGGUUUUCUUGGCUUCUAGCGUCACCAGAGUUAUCUUUCAAGUAAAGGAACCAGUCUUGUUUCCAUUAAUUCCAAACACUAAACAGCUAUGAUACUGACUUUUAAAGAAGUUUUGUACCUGAAAUGGAGGACUACCUAAUUCAGCCUGCACACAUGUAUUAUCCAUCCUACAUGUAAAGUCUUUGAUCCAUGAUAAAACCAUCAUUUGUUGAUCUAUUUUGCACUGUAUCUUGCAAUAAAUGCUUUUCAAUAUAUAUUUUAUUGUAUCUGAUGUCUAACUAAAGAGUUUACUGGAUAACACUUGAAUGAGAAAACUGAAAAAAGAACAGAUAUGUUUAAAGCUUCUCAAGAGUCAGAGGAUUCAAAUGCAAUAAAACAUUUUACAAGUUGUUACUGUGGUUUGAUUUCCAAGUCUCUGGGGAGAACCUAAGAAGACAAGGAUGUUGGAAAGAGGAGCUUCUUCCAAGCAGCAAAGGAAAGUGGAAAUUGAAUAAAAUUGUAAAACAAAUUAAAAAGUGCACUGGAGUGUUCGUCUCUCUCCAGCAUCUCCAUUGGGACACUUUGAACUCACUCUCCCACUGACUAAGAUUUUUUUGACAGAGAAUGAAGGUGUCUGCUUACUGGACAUUUGUGUCCCAUUGGUGAAAAAAAAUGGGAAAGUAAAACCAGGAAAACUAGACCCAAAGGUAGGUGAAAAUUUUAGCAUAAUGAAUGUUUUGAAAAAAGUAUAACAAUAAACCUGUGUUUUAAGACUUGGGGCCUAGGGGAAGGAGAGUGCUUUUUGAAGAGGCCAGUCAAGUACAUACAGUCAGAAAUCAAACUUAGGGUCAUUGAUUGUCCUUAGAAAUAGCUCUAAAUAUCCUCUGUCUUUGAAGUAAGAGAAAAUUUAGUCUUUUUUAAAAUAGCAUCUUUUCCUUAGAGGCUGCAGGUGGCAAAGGGUGGGCUUGUGGUAAGAGAAGGAGGACUGAAAAGAGAC